rnacentral:rRNA from 1 species
GACGAACGCUGGCGGCGUGCUUAACACAUGCAAGUCGAACGGAAAGGCCCUGCUUUUGUGGGGUUCUCGAGUGGCGAACGGGUGAGUAACACGUGAGUAACCUGCCCUUGACUUUGGGAUAACUUCAGGAAACUGGGGCUAAUACCGGAUAGGAGCUCCUGCUGCAUGGUGGGGGUUGGAAAGUUUCGGCGGUUGGGGAUGGACUCGCGGCUGAUCAGCUUGUUGGUGGGGUAGUGGCUUACCAAGGGUUUGACGGGUAGCCGGCCUGAGAGGGUGACCGGCCACAUGGGGACUGAGAUACGGCGCAGAGUCCAACGGGAGGCAGUAGUGGGGAAUAUGGCACAAUGGGAGGAAGCCUGAUGCAGCAACGCCGCGGGUGGGAUGACGGCUUGCGGGUUGUAAAACGCUUUAGCUUGUGACGAAGCGUUAGUGACGGUAAUGGGUAAAGAAGCACCGGCUAACUACGUG